rnacentral:lncRNA from 10 species
GGCUUAUCAAAGUCAAGCACUGUGUCACCUGGUAAUGCAAACCCUUCCAGCAUCUCUGCCUUUAGGUUUUAGGGGGGAAUCGUCAAAACAGACAUGCAGCCCACUACAAAGUACUUGAAAGCAAUAGGGCACCAUUCAAGCACACGCCUGCAUUUACUGGGCUACGUUUAUUUAGGGCAUUCAGGUGGCUGUAAUUAUUGUGCAUAAAUAGUUUUCUAAAAAGCAUAAAACUAAAAACUUGAUCCAUGGAAACACAGUGUGGUUUUAGGAUGGAGAUCGGAUUUCACUCACCUCAAAAUAACUCCUGGUGUUUGCCUCCAAGACCCAUUAAUUUAUGUUAUCUCUUGCUCUGUAGCAGUUUGGAUUUGUCACACUUAGCAAAGUAAUUUGGUUUCCCACAGGUUUUGUUCUGUUUUAUAGAAGCAAGAGAACGGUUUUGUGUUUCAGAGCAUGAAUACAUUCCUUCAGAAAUUUAGCCAGCAUUUCAGAAGGAUAUGAAUUUUUAUUUUUAGCUAUUUACACCUGCCUGAAAGGUUGAUGCUGCUAAACAUUGAUAUUACUUGAAAAGUUGUGCCCAAGGCAUAUUGCUUCUUUCCUAGCUAGGAAUUGAAAUGUUUAUGAAGCUUGCUGAAAAUUUACCAGGUUACCAAAAUAAGAGUUUAUAUCUCUUAUGUAGUGACUAACAGAAAUAGAUUUAUGUAUUCAACCAACCGUCCAAUAUUUAUUAAGCCACUAAUAUAUGCAUUGAAUUAUGCUGGAUUUGGGGUGACAUCAGAUUAUACAACAUACACUUCUCCUGUUCCAGUUCCCUUUUAACAUGUUAUUACUGGGCACUUACAGAAUGACAAAAUCACAUUAAUAAGACUCAGGCCUGACUUCAGAUUGUAAACAGUCUAGCUGGUGAAACAAACUCAUAAACAAAUGCCCAGACAUUUUACUACAAUAUAAUAAGUUCCGUGAAAGAGAUAAACACAGGAUAUAUUUUAGAAUCUCAGAAGCAGGUCUUGGCCGGGUGCAGUGGCUCACGCCUGUAAUCCCAGCACUUUGGGAGGCUGAGGCGGGUGGAUCACGAGGUCAGGAGAUCAAGACCAUCCUGGCUAACACAGUGAAACCCCAUCUCUACUAAAAGUACAAAAAAAUUUGUCGGGCUUGGUGGCGGGCACCUGUAGUCCCAGCUACUUGGGAGGCUGAGACAGGAGAAUGGCGUGCACCCGGAGGGCGGAGCUUGCAGUGAGCCAAGAUCACACCACUGCACUCCAGCCUGGGCAACAGAGUGAGACUCCGUCUCAAAAAAAAAAAAAAAGAAAGAAGCAGGUCUUAACAGAACCUGAAAGCAUCAGGAAAGGCUUCUGGCAGGAGAUAAAGCCUGAGCUUGAAGUUUUGAGAAGAAAGACUUCAAUAGAUGUCAGAAAGUAGAAAAGCUGUCCCAGACAAA